GCUUUAGAAAGGAAUCAAUUUGUUGAUGUGUGCUGACCAUUUCCCACUUUCUUUUCUGUCUUCACGCAAGUAGCAGAGGCCCCUGAGUGGCAGAGGUACAGGUAUGGGAUUGGCCCUUGUUCUUACCUGGCAAGGUGCCAGGCCAGGAUGCAUUCACUACCUCCUCCUGAACAAUGGCAUCCACGUCAUUCUGCGUUUCUAUAGCAGACCCAUGGCCAGUCCAGCCAAUGGCCACUCCUCUCUGCCUUACCAAGAGAACCUUCAUUCAACUCUGCAAAACUCAUCCUCCUUGCUGCCAGGGGCUCACUGAAGUCAAGUGACUUCUGCAAAAUCUUUAUCUUUCUCGAUAAAAGACACAGACAUGGCCACAGUUUCCUCUUCUCCCACUUCUUACUGUCUUGGAGAUAGACAUGAUAUCUGGAGCUACAGCAGCCCUUUCGAAACCAAGAGGAAACUGAGCCAACCUGACGAAGACAAGAAAAAGCCUGCGUGCCUAAUGGCAUCAUCCAGCAGUGGGACCAAGGCCAGCAACCUGCGACUGCUGCGUUUCUCAGCAUGUGGGACACACGAGACCCUCUGCUCUGGUGGUUGGACUCCCUGCUUCUAGCAGCAGACAUGGAUCAGCCUCACACACAGGCUGUUCCUUUGUUCAACAUGGCUGGUCUCGAACUCCUGGGCUCAAACAACCCUUUUGCCUCGGCCUCCAGAAGUCCUGGGAUUGCAGGCGUCAGCCACCGCACCCUCCAUCUUCUUCGUGGAAAGCUGUCAGUGAAGAAGCCACGAGUGACUGGUGAUGUUCUAUUUGCUCAGUCACAACCUUAGAGGCAUGGGGUUUUCUUUUUCUUUUGGUGGAGACAGGAGAGUGGGAGCCAAAAUUUGUCACGGUAAAGGCUGCCACCUUCGUGUCCUCACCAAAAGAAAAAGAAACUUACGCAUCUAAGAUUGUGACUGAGCAAACAGAACACUAACUUAAGGAAAUUUCUCCACCGUUGCAUUCACUGAAGGAAAGGGCUGUGUUGCUCUCUGCACUAUUUAGAGAGAAUGUGAGUUAGGAACUGUUGGAAGAGACAUUCAUAGAUGUGAAAUUUUUGUCAUGAUGAAACUAAUGCUGUGUUAAUAAGAAACAGACGAAGGGUCCAUCUGUUCAAUUCCUUUCUCUUCUUGAGAGGAUAUAGCAGAAUUAUGGUUCAGCAGCCCUGAGGACAGUUACAUGAUAGGCUUUCUCAUGUCAAACGUGUGGAAAGAUAGUGUGAGGUCGAAGUUUCAGGUGUUGUAAAUAAAUAUCCUGUGACCCAAAUGACUUUUUAAUUAGCUUUAUUUCUAUCAAGAAAAAAAAAUCCAGAAUGCUGUUGCAACCAAGCGAAUGAAUGACCGCAGGGUGUCCCUGGGAGGCUGGAGAGUGACGACAGGGCUGAGCACCAGACCGGCCUCCUCUCGUGCCACCGUAUCACACGGCACCCUGAGGAAGCCAAGGGAGUGGGAGAGAGGCCUGGAUUGCCCCCACUAUGGGCUGAAUUGUGUGCCCCCAAAAUUCACCUGCUGAAGUCCUAAGCCCCAGUCCCUCAAUGUGUGCCUUUAUUUGGAAAUAGGCUUGUUGCAGAUGUAAGUUGUUGAGAUGACAUCAUGCUGGAAUAAGGUGGACCCAGUAAUCCAAUAUGACUGGGUUUUAAAAAUUUUGAAUUUAAUUGAAUUUAACUUAAAGUUCUGGGUUGCAUGCGUAGAAGUGCAGGUUUGUUACAUAUGUAAACGUGUGCCAUGGUGGUGUGUUGCACAGAUCAACCGUCACCUAGGUAUUAAACCCAGCAUGCAUUAGCUAUUCUUCCUGAUGCUCUCCCUCCCUGUGACCCACCAACGGGCCCCAGUGUGGGUGGUUCUCCUCCCUGUGUCCAUAUGUUCCCAUUGUUCAGCUCCUCCUUAUAAGUGAGAACAUGCAGUGUUUGGUUUUCUGUUCCUGCCUUAGUUUGCUGAGGAUAAUGGCUUCCAGCUCCAUCUACGUCCCUGCAGAGGACAUGACCUCAUUCCUUUUUAUGGCUGCAUAGUAUUCCUUGGUGUAUAUGUACCACGUUUUCUUUAUCCAGUCUAUUAUUGAUGGGCAUUUGGGUUGAUUCCAUGCUUUGCUAUUGUGAACAGUGCUUCAAUGAAUACAUGCGUGUAUCUUUAUAACAGAAUGAUUUCUAUUCCUUUGGAUAUGUACCCAGUUAGGAGAUUUCUGGGUCAAAUGGUAUUUGACACAUCAUCACACUGUCUUCCAAAACGGUUGAACUAAUUUAUAUUCUCACCAACGGUGUAAAAGCGUUUCUAUUUCUCUACAGCCUCACCAGCAUCUGU
ensembl:lncRNA